rnacentral:piRNA from 1 species
CUGGAACCUUUACACACUGAUGAUGA